rnacentral:tRNA from 2 species
GGGCUUAUGGCGGAAUUGGUAGACGCGGUGGUCUCCAAAACCACUAUCCUGCCUAGGUUGUACGAGUUCGAAUCUCGUUAAGCCCA